rnacentral:lncRNA from 1 species
AGUUAUUUAGUGCUUAAUAAAGCAUUUCUAGAGAUGUACAUGUCGCUUAUAAAUUUAACAAUAAUUCUAAUUAUAUCAGUCUCAACACACGUAUAUAAAAAUUUAAAUCUUGCUUCAUUAGUCAUAUUUAAAAAAGAGGGAACUAUUUCACUAAUUUUGGAAAACAGUUGGUCUCUAAUUAUAUAUUUAGUUUUGUACAUUUUAAAGUGAAAUGAAAUUCAUCUUCAACUUCUAAGAGGCACAAAGGACAAAUUCUUUCUUCUACAGGGGUUUUAGUGUGACGCCCUUGUUCAAUUCUAAGAACACUGUUACUAAUACGAAUUUUAGCAAAAUGCCCUAUUACUUUUCUGUCUAUAUUUAACAAUAAAUAGUUUUCCAAUUUAUAAUUUUCUUUAAGCUGUCUAUAUGUUCUCAGCUUAUUACCAUGUACUGAUUUAUUAUCACAAAAUAUAUUUUCUUUCCAAUAAUUAAG